UACGGAGGGUGCGAGCGUUGUCCGGAAUCACUGGGCGUAAAGGGCGCGUAGGCGGCCUGAUAAGUAGGGGGGUGAAAUCCUGCGGCUUAACCGCAGGGCUGCCUUCUAAACUGUCAGGCUCGAGCACAGUAGAGGCAGGUGGAAUUCCCGGUGUAGCGGUGGAAUGCGUAGAGAUCGGGAAGAACAUCAGUGGCGAAGGCGGCCUGCUGGGCUGUUCUUGACGCUGAGGCGCGAAAGCUAGGGUAGCAAACGGG
rnacentral:rRNA from 1 species